UCUCGCGCGUUCCACCUCCUUGGAACGGAUCCUUUCAGUGCCUGGCGUAGAUUAACUUUUGAUACGAGACCUCGCAGUCUCCGAGCGAGUCUCGAUUCGUACACGCUGGCUGGGACACGUCGCGAGCUACCGAUUAUCAAAUUUCUAUCAGCGACAGCGAAUUACUCGUAAAGCGCAACUUUACUGUCCGCCUGCUGCAAGCGCAGAGAGCUCGAAGGCGCCGCGCCAGCGAGGGAUAAAGGACGGGGAACCGGAAGAACAGGGUGGAAAUAAACGGGCAAACAGUCAGACAACGGCAGGAUUGCGGAUUUAUCCGCGGAUUAGAAACGAUGCGUUCCACAGCGAUGAUAACAGUGGCGUUCACCAUUUGCGUCGUCUGCAUUUUUACCGACCCUGCAUGCGCUUUCAGUAGAACUUUGGACAAGAACAUCCUCUACUCGCCGGAACAAGUCGAAUACAUCAAGCUCUCUACUGCAAUGUGUCCUGAUAACACAAUCUUGUGGCCAGCGAAUCGUCGAUGCUACAGAGAAGGUGAACAAGGUCCCUGCAAUAUCGGUCGCGUACUAACCUUGCAUCAGCAAUAUCUGAAACCUUACUGCAAGGAUCAGUGAAGCAAUAAAACGUAUAGAUAUUACUUUUGCCGGCUGCAUGCAACCCUAUCGAAGAUGGGGGCAGGUAUUCGAAACGACUAGUGGCGUGCUCAACUGAAAUAUUAGUCUGAUAAAUAAUAAUUAUGAAUUUUAAAAUAACGGUAUGCCUGUUUUGCGGUGCCAUCGUUGUCAAAUAAUUAUUUAACAGCAUUGUCUUCUUUUUAUUAAGAAAGAAUCGAUCAAUUCUGUGAUAGGAUUGAUUAUUUUCGUAUAGAUUAAUUUCGAGAGGCGGCAAGUACUUAAAUUUAAAAUCUCAAUUUUUAAAAUACGAAAUACUGAAUGCUGAACACUUCAGAGAUUACAGAAUUGUCCUAGUUUUCUUUUUAUAAAGAUUUCAAUGUCUACUUCUUAAGUUUUACAUAAAUAAUUUCGACGAGAACGAUCAGUUUACGUAUAGCAAAUUUAAUAGUUUAUCUCUAGUAGCUCCCACUUAUUUGGCAUAAUUUCAAUUUUAUUUUACCACGAAUUUAAGUACGUAGCUAAUUUAAAAUAUAUGUAUACAUACACUUGAUAUUACUAUGACGAAUAAUUGAAGGUGGCUAUAUGUAUAUUUAGUAUAUGAAUAGAGAAAUAAUUUUAACAGGUCGAAAUAAGGGAACAGUUCAUGCAAACAUGAGUUUGACUAUGCCUCGUUUCGUCGCUGGAGACGCUUAAAGUUUCAUAAAAAUACCUCAGGAUUAUAGAGUACCUUUCUGUUAAACAACUUCAGAACUCACUUUUAACACAACUGUAGUUAAUUAAUUAUUCAAUAAAUUGUCAUGGAAUAAUAUUCGGUAGUAGUUUCAAUGCAUACUGCAACAUGGCGGAUCCUUUCAUCGCCCAGCAUUUUUAAGUUUUUAUCCGACUUAUUUUUCACUAUCUACGAUUUCAAAAUACGUUUGGAUUAAUUUUUAAUAAAAAUGCAAAAGAAUAGACGAAUUUUACUAUCAAGGAACGAAAUAAAAGUUUAAGUGGUAAAAUUGUUCUCUUUUCUGGAAACUUUGAGCGACACCAGCGACACAAACGCCACUUUCGAAUUCAUAUUUAUAUAAACUUUUCUCAUUGCGCGCAAAUGAUGAGGCGAUAUCAGUAUUAGUAACAGUAAUAAAAUAUUCUACGUACUGUGACAUUUUGCGUUAAUAUUGGAAAAAAGUUUAUAUAUACAAAUAUCGUUUAAUUUAAGGCGAAGCAUUUCAGCUCUGAAGCAGGAUGAAAUGACCUAAACUAUAGACUGAAAUCAAAGAAUAACGUUUAGCGAACAAAUAUUGAACUUUACACAAAUUUACCGACACAAAGGCAAUAAAUACCAUGCGCAUGUAUUGCAUGAAUAUUUAUAAAAAUUCUAAAGAAGUAAGGAAUGUAAUUAUUAAUGACAAAUUUUAAGAUUAAAUUAUUCCCCCGAUACGUGAACUUAUGGUGAUUAAUCGAACCGUAACGAUGUGUGCGUUAUUUAAAUUUUCAGCACUGUAUCUGUUAUGUUUCAUUUUAUUAUAAAAGUAUAUUGCAGA